AGACGUGCGCAUGCGCACUAGCAGUAAAGGUGAGCGCGCGCACCCAAGUACAAUUCACUUCCGUUGGUAGUAACGCGUAAUGGCGGACUUACAGGGAAAUUGAGAGCUUUUGAAGAAGAAAAGGCUGAAUUCCACCUAAGAGACGUUCUUGUGUGAUAUAGACUGGGCACUGGCCUAUUGGUCACCAGCAUAUACCAAGUAUAAUACCUGAAGGUUCUAAGACUGGGAUGAAGUUUAAUACCAAUUGAGCUGUAAGGAAAGAGGUUGGAAUCAAAGUCCUUGUCUGUUGGCAACUACAGAUAUAGCAGAACCAGAUUAAACACAGGAAAUGGCUGCUCAAGAUAGCAUUUAACCAAAUGAGCUGAUUUAAUUGCUCAUGGAGUCAGAACACAUGGCUCAAAUGGAACAAGAGGAACAUACCCUGUAGACGAAAACAUCGCGAGAAUUCAUCAAAAACAAGACAAAAAUGGAGUCAGAAUGAGGAUGAGGAAAUAAGAAAAAUAUUUCAUAAAUGUUUCCUUACAAGAAAAUGUCCAACAGCUCAUCAUUGUCUUAAAGCUAUAAAUUUAAGCAGGAAGAACAACUGUUGCAUUUGUAAACGUAAGAAGGAUGUCCUUAAAAAAGAAGUCAUAUUGAAGGAUUGACAGCUUAAGUGAUUAACAUUUAUGUAGUAGACAGCGACUGGGAAACCCAUGAGACAUGAACCAUAGUCACAUAAAAAUAAAAAAAAUGUCACAUAAGUUUUAAGUGCUGAUGAGCCCUGUGUCACAUGGCUAAACUGUAUUGAAUGCAAAAGAAUGAAACUAUUUAAUAGUGCAAAUUUUAUGUAAAGGAAUGUAACCAAAUUCAAUGUUUAAAGACAUGUGUUAACAUAGUAUUUUAUUCUAGACUUUGAUUUUUGUCAGUUUUCAAUAUUUGUCCCCAAGUAAGAGGAAAUUGUUGCUAGUAAAAAGGCAAAAAAGUUACCUUUAAGUUUAAGUUUUACAAAUAUCAACAAUAAUGAGGAAUUGACUUGCGAUGAAAAUAACAACACCCGUUUUUAAACAUAUUUAAAAUAAUUGUUCAUAGAAGUAACGGUACACUUAGUCUGCUUCUUCUUCCAAAGUAUUAAAUGUUGACAAUGUUUACUUUUAUCACAUACAGGCACAUUGCUGUAAAUUUUUUUAAAGAAUGUUAUCCAGGGUAUGAUUAGAGCAUUGUUCGGAAGACUUAUAUUUAUUUUCAGUGGUAUAAAGGAGUACUGUUCAGUUCUACCAGGAAAGUAGAGUAAAAUAAAUGCUUUGAAUAUUAUUGACAUUAGAGCUGUUGAGCUGUUACAGUUUUAGUUGCUAUACUUUUAUUUAGUUAAGAGCUUAUUUAAUCUGAAAUGUAUACAUACUACAGUGCAAAUUCCUAGCACACAAAUCGCAGAUGUCCCACAGAAAUUUCUGAAUGUCACAAAUUUUUUAAAUGUCACUUAACAAAUUGUGUAUGAUGGGCCUUCGUCCCAUGAACAAAAAUUCGUUCCCUGUCACUGAGUAGAAUGAAUAUCAUCCAAACUUUUUGCCUGUUCGGAAAUAAAUAUAACUGAUUUUAGUCAACACUUUAAUUCUUUUGAGGAAAAGCUAGUGUUGUAUGAUGUUUAAUCAGCUCUAUUUAGUAUAGACUCAAAUAGUAAACCUUAAAAGUGGUGUACCCUGAAGUUCUUAACUAUAUUAUUAUUUCUCAUAUUGGACCAGACAUUGAGCAGAUUAUUCCUUUGUCAUAGAAAUGAGCACACGGUGUACUGAAUUUUUUACUAGGCUAUAUUAGAAAAAUUUGUCCUGAUGAAAGAUGCUACGAGUUUUAGUGUACAGCACUUUUAGAUAUAGUCACUGUAGUGAUAUGUGUUUGACGUACAUCUGCUUUAAUUGAAUGUAAACCCAUGUACAAGGCAGGUUUCUUGUUAGUGGGUUACAAGUUGUUUUACCUUUUUUGUGGGUAACAAGUUUUACCUUGUUUUAUGCUAUUUUUAGCUCGACUAUUCAAAGAAUAGGUAGUGCUAUUGCACUCACUCAUGCGUCGGCGUCGCGUCCCGACCAGGUUAAGUUUUUGUAUGUAUGCUGAUAUCUCAGUAACCACAUAUCGGAAUGGAUUGAAACCUCACACACUUGUUCACUGUGAUAAACUGACCCACAUUGCAGAGGUUCCAUAAAUCUGAUUGCUUAUUUACAAAAUUAUGCCCCUUUCUUGACUUAGAAAUUUUUAGUUAGGUUUUUGUGUGUAAGCUGAUAUCUCAAUAAACACUAAAGGGAAUGGAUUGAAACUUCACAUACUUGUUUCCUGUGAUAAACUGACCUAAAUUGCACAGGCUCCAUAAGUCUGAUUGCAUAUUUACAAAACUAUGCCCCUUUUUCGACUUAGAAAUUUUAGGUUAAAGUUCUGUAUGUAAGCUGGUAUCUCAACAACCACUAGUGGGAAUUGAUUGAAACUUCACGUACUUGUUUACUGUGAUGAA
rnacentral:lncRNA from 1 species